GGUGUCCAGUAGGUGAGUGAUACCUAAGAAAAAAGUCCGUCCGGAUUGCAAAUCCGCCAUCGUCGGUUCGAAUCCGACCGGCGCCU
rnacentral:tRNA from 1 species